GACAGAGGGGGCAAGCGUUGCUCGGAAUCACUGGGCGUAAAGGGCGCGUAGGCGGGAUGGCAAGUCGGUCGUGAAAUCCUUCGGCUCAACCGAAGAACGUCGGCCGAUACUGCCGUUCUUGAGGGAUGCAGAGGAGAUUGGAAUUCCCGGUGUAGCGGUGAAAUGUGUAGAGAUCGGGAGGAACACCGGUGGCGAAGGCGGGUCUCUGGGCAUCUCCUGACGCUGAGGCACGAAAGCCAGGGGAGCAAACGGG
rnacentral:rRNA from 1 species